GAUGAACGCUGGCGGCGUGCCUAAUACAUGCAAGUCGAGCGAACAGACGAGGAGCUUGCUCCUCUGACGUUAGCGGCGGACGGGUGAGUAACACGUGGAUAACCUACCUAUAAGACUGGGAUAACUUCGGGAAACCGGAGCUAAUACCGGAUAAUAUAUUGAACCGCAUGGUUCAAUAGUGAAAGACGGUUUUGCUGUCACUUAUAGAUGGAUCCGCGCCGCAUUAGCUAGUUGGUAAGGUAACGGCUUACCAAGGCAACGAUGCGUAGCCGACCGUAGAGGGGGAUCGGCCACACUGGAACUGAGACACGGUCCAGACUCCUACGGGAGGCAGCAGUAGGGAAUCUUCCGCAAUGGGCGAAAGCCUGACGGAGCAACGCCGCGUGAGUGAUGAAGGUCUUCGGAUCGUAAAACUCUGUUAUUAGGGAAGAACAAAUGUGUAAGUAACUAUGCACGGCUUGACGGUACCUAAUCAGAAAGCCACGGCUAACUACGUG
rnacentral:rRNA from 1 species